CACCGCGGUUAGACGAGCGGCCCGAGUUGUUAGACUUCGGCGUAAAGCGUGGUUAAGGUCACUCAAUCACUAAAGCCAAACACCUUCCGCUGCUGUAAUACGCUCACGAAGGUAGGAAGCCCGAUCACGAAAGUAGCUUUACAGCACCUGAACCCACGAGAGCUAGGGUA
rnacentral:rRNA from 1 species